AUCAAUGGUACUCUAUUGCAACCUGCAACCCCUCCUGCUUGUAGGAUGUGUAAAGUUAAGCUCCAACUUUGUGAGACACAAAGAGGGUGAAAGAAUGUCGAAUUUGCUGUAAAGGCAGAGCGAGGAAUGUGCCAGCAUCUUAAGAAAAAUGUUGGUGAGGAAGUGAUGCGGAGGCUGUGUGGGCAUGAUUGCCUUGUACCUUAGUUUUAAUGCAGUGCCGUGGAUCAGAGGAGCGAGAGGCAGCUCCUGCACAACUCCUACCUUCUUAGAGAGUUCUUAUGAGAUCCAUUUUAAUUCAGAGACUCACAAUAAAUCUAUGUG